rnacentral:rRNA from 1 species
UACGGAGGGUGCAAGCGUUAUCCGGAUUCACUGGGUUUAAAGGGUGCGUAGGAGGGCAGGUAAGUCAGUGGUGAAAUCUCCGAGCUUAACUUGGAAACUGCCAUUGAUACUAUCUGUCUUGAAUAUUGUGGAGGUGAGCGGAAUAUGUCAUGUAGCGGUGAAAUGCUUAGAUAUGACAUAGAACACCAAUUGCGAAGGCAGCUCGUUACACGAAUAUUGACUCUGAGGCACGAAAGCGUGGGGAGCAAACAGG